GGUCAAAGAAAUGAUAUUACCUUACUACUAGUGUCGUCCAGUACUCGUGCCAGAAGACUCGGCAAGGCGAGAGACGCAAACGUUAGUCGUCCCUUUAUAGCUAGAAUCAAAUAGAGGUCACAUAAAAUAAUACUUGGUGUAAGGUUGGUAUCUUAAAAUCCCACGUAGAAUACUAACGGCGAAGGCUUUUUUCCAAUGAUCGAAGGUGAGGGCAGGAAAUAGGAUUAGAGACCCCGGUACUCCUCACAGUCAACGAUGAAUGGUGGUUUCUAGAUUUAAGAGGCGAUGUUAACGCGAUAACCAUUCCGCCUUGUGAGUACGGCUGCAAAGUUGAAAACAAAAAAAUUAGUCGG
rnacentral:rRNA from 1 species